UACGGAGGUGGCGAGCGUUGCUCGGAUUUACUGGGCGUAAAGGGCACGUAGGCGGUCCAGCAAGUCCUACUUGAAAUGAUGCGGCUCAACCGUGUCACGCGGUGGGAUACUGCCGGACUUGAGGACUGGAGAGGUGAGCGGAAUUCCCGGUGUAAGGGUGAAAUCUGUAGAUAUCGGGAGGAACACCAGUGGCGAAAGCGGCUCACUGGCCAGUUUCUGACGCUGAGGUGCGAAAGCUAGGGGAGCAAACAGG
rnacentral:rRNA from 1 species